CCUACGGGGUGCAGCAGUGAGGAAUAUUGGUCAAUGGGCGCGAGCCUGAACCAGCCAAGUCGCGUGAGGGAUGACGGCCCUACGGGUUGUAAACCUCUUUUGCCGGGGAGCAACGGGCGCCACGUGUGGCGCCACUGAGAGUACCCGGAGAAUAAGCAUCGGCUAACUCCGUGCCAGCAGCCGCGGUAUAACGGAGGAUGCGAGCGUUAUCCGGUUUUAUUGGGUUUAAAGGGUGCGUAGGCGGUUUUUUAAGUUAGUGGUUAAACGUCGGGGCUUCACCUUGAUUUGCCAUUAAUACUGUAAGACUCGAGUUCAGACGAGGUAGGCGGAAUAAGUUAAGUAGCGGUGAAAUGCUUAGAUAUAACUUAGAACUCCGAUAGCGAAGGCAGCUUACCAGACUGCGACUGACGCUGAAGCACGAGAGCGUGGGUAGCGAACAGGAUUAGAUACCCCAGUAGUC
rnacentral:rRNA from 1 species